rnacentral:rRNA from 1 species
AUGCAUGGUGUGAUCAAAAUCUUUGACAAAAUACUAGCGUGCCGGCUUGCUCAUGAGCUGCCAAAUUUGAUCGGCCCCCAUCAGAGUGUGUUUGUCAAAGGGAGAUCACUCCAUCAUAACUUCAUGCUUGAACAGAGCAUGGCAAGGCGCCUACAUGCACUCAAGCACCCUACAAUCAUGCUAAAGUUAGAUAUUUCAAAGGCUUUCGGCACUAUCCAAUGGGCGUUCUUGCUUGAGGUGCUUCAAAGGAUGGGUUUUGGUAGGAUGUGGACGAACUGGAUGGCAGGGAUCUUGGCCACUUCCUCAACCCAUGUCAUGGUGAAUGGAACUCCGGGUGCCCCAAUUCACAGCUGCAAGGGCCUUCGACAGGGUAGCCCCCUUUCUCCAAUGCUUUUCAUUAUUAUAAUGGAGCCACUUCAGAAACUUUUUUAG